GACGAACGCUGGCGGCGUGCCUAAUACAUGCAAGUCGAGCGAAUCAUUGGGAGCUUGCUCCCAUUGGUUAGCGGCGGACGGGUGAGUAACACGUGGGCAACCUGCCUGUAAGACUGGGAUAACUUCGGGAAACCGGAGCUAAUACCGGAUAAUUCUUUUCCUCUCAUGAGGAAAAGCUGAAAGGCGGUUUCGGCUGUCACUUACAGAUGGGCCCGCGGCGCAUUAGCUAGUUGGUGAGGUAACGGCUCACCAAGGCGACGAUGCGUAGCCGACCUGAGAGGGUGAUCGGCCACACUGGGACUGAGACACGGCGCAGACUCCUACGGGAGGCAGCAGUAGGGAAUCUUCCACAAUGGACGAAAGUCUGAUGGAGCAACGCCGCGUGAGCGAUGAAGGCCUUCGGGUCGUAAAAGCUCUGUUGUUAGGGAAGAACAAGUACCGGAGUAACUGCCGGUACCUUGACGGUACCUAACCAGAAAGCCACGGCUAACUACGUGCCAGCAGCCGCGGUAAUACGUAGGUGGCAAGCGUUGUCCAAAAUUAUUGGGCGUAAAGCGCGCGCAGGCGGUCCUUUAAGUCUGAUGUGAAAGCCCACGGCUCAACCGUGGAGGGUCAUUGGAAACUGGGGGACUUGAGUGCAGAAGAGGAAAGCGGAAUUCCACGUGUAGCGGUGAAAUGCGUAGAGAUGUGGAGGAACACCAGUGGCGAAGGCGGCUUUCUGGUCUGUAACUGACGCUGAGGCGCGAAAGCGUGGGGAGCAAACAGGAUUAGAUACCCUGGUAGUCCACGCCGUAAACGAUGAGUGCUAAGUGUUAGGGGGUUUCCGCCCCUUAGUGCUGCAGCUAACGCAUUAAGCACUCCGCCUGGGGAGUACCCCCGCAAGGCUGAAACUCAAAGGAAUUGACGGGGGCCCGCACAAGCGGUGGAGCAUGUGGUUUAAUUCGAAGCAACGCGAAGAACCUUACCAGGUCUUGACAUCCUCUGACACUCCUAAAGAUAGGACGUUCCCCUUCGGGGGACAGAGUGACAGGUGGUGCAUGGUUGUCGUCAGCUCGUGUCGUGAGAUGUUGGGUUAAGUCCCGCAACGAGCGCAACCCUUGAUCUUAGUUGCCAGCAUUCAGUUGGGCACUCU
rnacentral:rRNA from 1 species